rnacentral:rRNA from 1 species
UGGGUUUAAGACGCCAGUUUUGGCGGAGCCAUCCUUGGGAUACCACCCUUGUAGUACUGGGACUCUAACCAUAGGCCAUGAAUCUGGUCUUGGGACACUGUCAGGCGGCCAGCUUGAAGGGGGCGGUAGACUCCCAAAAGGUAACGGAGGCGCUCAAAGGUUCUCUCAGUACGGUAGGAAAGUGUACGUAGAGGUUAAAGGCAAAAGAGGGCUUGAUUGUAAGACCAGCAGGGCGAGGAAGGAUGAAAAUCGGACUUAGUGAUCCGGUGGGUCUGCGUGGAAGGGCCCUCGCUCAACUGAUAAAAGCUUCCCUGGGGAUCAAAGGCUUAUCUCACCCAAGAGUCCACAUCGACGGGGAGGUUUGGCACCUCGAUGUCGGCUAAUCACAUCCUGGGGCUGUAGUAGGUCCCAAGGGUUGGGCUGUUCGCCCAUUAAAGUGG